UACGUAGGGAGCAAGCGUUGUUCGGAUUUACUGGGCGUAAAGGGCGCGUAGGCGGCGUGUCAAGUCGAUUGUGAAAUCUCCGGGCUUAACUCGGAACGGCCAAUCGAUACUGACGUGCUAGAGUGCAGAAAGGGCAAUCGGAAUUCUUGGUGUAGCGGUGAAAUGCGUAGAUAUCAAGAGGAACACCUGAGGCGAAGGCGGGUUGCUGGGCCGACACUGACGCUGGGUGCGCGAAAGCCAGGGGAGCAAACGGG
rnacentral:rRNA from 1 species